GAUCCUGGCUCAGAAUCAACGCUGGCGGCGCGCCUAACACAUGCAAGUCGAGCGAGAAAGGGGCAACCUGAGUAAAGCGGCGUACGGGUGAGUAACACGUGGAUCAUCUACCCUUUUGUGGGGAAUAACUUUGGGAAACCGAAGCUAAUACCGCAUAAGUCCGAGAGGAGAAAGCAGCAAUGCGCAGGAGGAGGAGUCCGCGGCCGAUUAGCUAGUUGGUGGGGUAAUGGCCCACCAAGGCAACGAUCGGUAGCCGGCCUGAGAGGGCACACGGCCACACUGGCACUGAGACACGGGCCAGACUCCUACGGGAGGCAGCAGUGGGGAAUCUUGCACAAUGGGGGAAACCCUGAUGCAGCGACGCCGCGUGAGCGAUGAAGCCCUUCGGGGUGUAAAGCUCUUUCGACGGGAACGAUAAUGACGGUACCCGGAGAAGAAGCUGCGGCUAACUACGUGCCAGCAGCCGCGGUAAUACGUAGGCAGCAAGCGUUGUUCGGAGUUACUGGGCGUAAAGAGUACGUAGGCGGUUUGCUAAGUCUGGUGUGAAAUCUCCUGGCUUAACUGGGAGGGUGCGCUAGAUACUGGCAGGCUUGAGUAUGGGAGAGGAGAGUGGAAUUCCUGGUGUAGCGGUGAAAUGCGUAGAUAUCAGGAGGAACGCCGGUGGUGUAGACGGCUCUCUGGACCAUUACUGACGCUGAGGUACGAAAGCGUGGGUAGCAAACAGGAUUAGAUACCCUGGUAGUCC
rnacentral:rRNA from 1 species